CCUACGGGUGGCUGCAGUGGGGAAUAUUGGACAAUGGGCGAAAGCCUGAUCCAGCCAUGCCGCGUGUGUGAAGAAGGCCUUCGGGUUGUAAAGCACUUUCAGUGGGGAAGAAAGCCUUGGGGCUAAUACCCUCGAGGAAGGACAUCACCCACAGAAGAAGCACCGGCUAACUCCGGGCCAGCAGCCGCGGUAAUACGGAGGGUGCGAGCGUUAAUCGGAAUUACUGGGCGUAAAGCGCGCGUAGGCGGUCUGAUAAGCCGGUUGUGAAAGCCCCGGGCUCAACCUGGGAACGGCAUCCGGAACGGUCAGGCUAGAGUGCAGGAGAGGAAGGUAGAAUUCCCGGUGUAGCGGUGAAAUGCGUAGAGAUCGGGAGGAAUACCAGUGGCGAACGCGGCCUUCUGGACUGACACUGACGCUGAGGUGCGAAAGCGUGGGUAGCAAACAGGAUUAGAUACCUGGUAGUC
rnacentral:rRNA from 1 species